AUUGAACGCUGGCGGUAUGCUUAACACAUGCAAGUCGAACGAUGAGAAAGAGCUUGCUCUUUCGAUUAGUGGCGGACGGGUGCGUAACGCGUAGGAAUCUACCUAUUAGUGGGGGACAACUUAGGGAAACUUAAGCUAAUACCGCAUACGCCCUACGGGGGAAAGAAGGGGAUCGCAAGACCUUUUGCUAAUAGAUGAGCCUGCGUAGGAUUAGCUAGUUGGUGGGGUAAAAGCUCACCAAGGCGACGAUCCUUAACUGGUUUGAGAGGAUGAUCAGCCACACUGGAACUGAGACACGGUCCAGACUCCUACGGGAGGCAGCAGUGGGGAAUAUUGGACAAUGGGCGAAAGCCUGAUCCAGCAAUACCGCGUGUGUGAAGAAGGCCUUAGGGUUGUAAAGCACUUUCAAUUGGAAGGAAAACCUCGAAGCUAAUACCUUCGAGUUUGACAUUACCUUUAGAAGAAGCACCGGCUAAUUCCGUGCCAGCAGCCGCCGUAA
rnacentral:rRNA from 1 species